AUGGGCGAGCUGCCUGCCGGGUACCGCUUCUACCCUACGGAGGAGGAGCUGGUGCGCUUCUACCUCCGGCACAUGCUCGACGGCCGCCGCCGCGGCGACAUCGAGCGCGUCAUCCCCGUCGCCGACGUCUGCUCCCUCGACCCCUGGCAGCUCCCAGAGGUGCACCGGGGAGCGUGUGCAGGGCACGGGGAGCCGUGGUUCUACUUCUGCGCGCGGCAGGACCGGGAGGCACGGGGCGGGCGGCCCAGCCGCACGACGCCGUCAGGCUACUGGAAGGCGGCGGGCACGCCAGGGUUGGUCUACUCCGCCGAUGGCCGCCCCGUCGGGACCAAGAAGACCAUGGUGUUCUACCGCGGCCGCGCACCGGCCGGAGCCAAGACCAAGUGGAAGAUGAACGAGUACAGGGCCUUCGACGACGACGGUGCUGAUGCCGCCGCUCGGCUCCAGGUGAGGAGCGAGUUCAGCUUGUGCCGGCUGUACACAAGGUCAGGCAGCUUGCGGCAGUUCGACCGCCGGCCGUGCACUGCCGCCGCCGGAGGAUGCCGCUCUGAGGACCCGGCGUCGUCGUCCGCCGCGCUUGCGUCGCCCAAUCAGGAUGUUGAAGUGGGAAAGGGUCAGAAGAGGAAAAGGCAUGCAGCCAACGACGUCCCGUCGUCCAGCGACGCCUACCGCUCCGUGCAGCAGCAGCAGAAGCAGGGAGGCGCCGAUGAGGAGCUCGCCGACGGCAUGACCGACUGGGCAGAGCUCUUUGACUGGGUCUAA
rnacentral:rRNA from 1 species